CUCUGUGGGAUCGAUCCUUACUUCCCUAUACUAAUCAAAUAGUAUUAGUGGGUUAAGGUGAAACAGGCAGAAGUAGGCUGACCUGAUCAGGUUGAAGACCAAACUUGAGCAAUUCGCAACAACACAUAUCAGCUUUAAAGGGGAAGGAGACGAGAGCGGAGGAAAGCGCCACGAUUAGUUACUACUUCGGUUUCCUUUGAGAUAUGGUCCUUUACCCGGUGUAGUCGCUGUUGCGACCUGAGCCAUAUUCUGGUAACACAUGCAAUCGGAGGAAGCUUGAAGUUCAGCCUCUGAGGAUGGCCUAAACAUAGCUAGGGUUUCCGAUUGUCUAGUUCUUGUACUUAGUACUUUGUAAUCGUGUAUUUCUCUUUUGAACUUGGCUUGUUCCUUCUGAGAUUAGUCAUCUCUGUAGCACGAUGUAAUAUA